ensembl:snRNA U6 U6 spliceosomal RNA
GUGCUCACGUCAGCAGCACAUUUAUUAAAUUGGAAUGACAUAGAGAUCAGUAUAGUCCCACACAAGGACAAUGCACAAAUUGGUGACACUUCUAGUAUUUUU